AAUCAACGCUGGCGGCGUGCCUAACACAUGCAAGUCGAACGAGAAAGUGGGGGCAACCCUGCGAGUACAGUGGCAGACGGGUGAGUAACACGUGAACAACCUACCCUUGAGUGGGGAAUAACACCGCGAAAGCGGAGCUAAUACCGCAUAACAUCUUGAGCUCGCAUGGGCGAGAGAUCAAAGCCGAAAGGCGCUUGAGGAGGGGUUCGCGGCUGAUUAGCUAGUUGGUGAGGUAACGGCUCACCAAGGCGACGAUCAGUAGCCGGCCUGAGAGGGCGAACGGCCACACUGGAACUGAGACACGGUCCAGACUCCUACGGGAGGCAGCAGUGGGGAAUUUUGCGCAAUGGGCGAAAGCCUGACGCAGCAACGCCGCGUGGAGGAUGAAGGCCUUCGGGUCGUAAACUCCUGUCGACGGGGAAGAAAGCCGAAAGGUUUGACUGUACCCGUUGAGGAAGCCACGGCUAACUCCGUG
rnacentral:rRNA from 1 species